GUGCCAGCCGCCGCGGUAAUACGUAGGGUGCGAGCGUUGUCCGGAAUUACUGGGCGUAAAGAGCUCGUAGGUGGUUUGUCGCGUUGUCCGUGAAAACUCACAACUCAAUUGUGGGCGUGCGGGCGAUACGGGCAGACUGGAGUACUGCAGGGGAGACUGGAAUUCCUGGUGUAGCGGUGGAAUGCGCAGAUAUCAGGAGGAACACCGGUGGCGAAGGCGGGUCUCUGGGCAGUAACUGACGCUGAGGAGCGAAAGCGUGGGGAGCGAACAGGAUUAGAAACCCUCGUAGUCC
rnacentral:rRNA from 1 species